GUCGAACGGUGUCUUCGGACAUAGUGGCGCACGGGUGCGUAACACGUAUGCAACCUACCUUACAUUGGGGGAUAGCCUUUCGAAAGGGAGAUUAAUACCGCAUAAGACAGUAGCUGGGCAUCCAGCAGCUGUUAAAGAUUUAUCGAUGUAAGAUGGGCAUGCGUCCAAUUAGUUAGUUGGCGAGGUAACGGCUCACCAAGACUUUGAUUGGUAGGGGAACUGAGAGGUCAAUCCCCCACACUGGCACUGAGAUACGGGCCAGACUCCUACGGGAGGCAGCAGUAGGGAAUAUUGGGCAAUGGACGCAAGUCUGACCCAGCCAUGCCGCGUGCAGGAUGAAGGCGUUAUGCGUUGUAAACUGCUUUUAUACAGGAAGAAACGACUCUUGCGAGAGGCAUUGACGGUACUGUAUGAAUAAGCACCGGCUAACUCCGUGCCAGCAGCCGCGGUAAUACGGAGGGUGCAAGCGUUGUCCGGAUUUAUUGGGUUUAAAGGGUGCGCAGGUGGUUUAUUAAGUCAGUGGUGAAAGACGGUCGCUCAACGAUUGCAGUGCCAUUGAAACUGGUAGACUUGAGUAAAGUAGAGGUGGGCGGAAUUGAUAGUGUAGCGGUGAAAUGCAUAGAUAUUAUCAAGAACUCCAAUUGCGUAGGCAGCUCACUUGGCUUUUACUGACACUCAUGCACGAAAGUGUGGGUAUCAAACAGGAUUAGAUACCCUGGUAGUCCACACUGUAAACGAUGAUAACUAGGU
rnacentral:rRNA from 1 species